rnacentral:rRNA from 1 species
CUACGGAGGGUGCAAGCGUUAAUCGGAAUUACUGGGCGUAAAGCGUACGUAGGCGGUCCGUUAAGUUAGAUGUGGAAGCCCCGGGCUUAACCUGGGAACUGCAUUUAAAACUGGCGGACUAGAGUUGAGUAGAGGGGAGUGGAAUUUCAGGUGUAGCGGUGAAAUGCGUAGAGAUCUGAAGGAACAACAGUGGCGAAGGCGACUCCCUGGACUCGAACUGACGCUGAGGUACGAAAGCGUGGGUAGCAAACGGGAUUAGAAACCCUAGUAGUCC